rnacentral:rRNA from 1 species
CCUACGGGAGGCAGCAGUGAGGAAUAUUGGUCAAUGGACGAGAGUCUGAACCAGCCAAGUAGCGUGAAGGAUGACUGCCCUACGGGUUGUAAACUUCUUUUAUAAGGGAAUAAAACGAGCCACGUGUGGGAUUUUGUAUGUACCAUAUGAAUAAGGAUCGGCUAACUCCGUGCCAGCAGCCGCGGUAAUACGGAGGAUCCGAGCGUUAUCCGGAUUUAUUGGGUUUAAAGGGAGCGUAGUUGGGUUGUUAAGUCAGUUGGGAAAGUUUGCGGCUCAACCGUAAAAUUGCAGUUGAAACUGGCAGUCUUGUGUUCAGUUGCGGUGGGCGGCCUUCGUGGUGUCGCGG